AUCAUGUCAGCUGUGUGGAUCAAAGAAAAAGGGAUAUUUCAGAUCCUUCUGCAAAAAGAGCAGCAUCUUGUUAUUUUGUGUAUGCAAAGGCCAAGUAUCAGUGUUUUUCAUCAGCGUCCCACGUGAUGAUGCAGGCCUCGAUCAUAAUCCAUGUGUGUGUGUGUGUGUGAGUGUGUGUGUGUAAGUGUUGUUACAUGUGAUUGAGGGAGGAAACUGAUCCUGUGUGUGUUUAUCUGAAGCUCUACGACCUCUUCUCGCUGAGCUGAAAUAGGAUUCUUUGCUCUUUUCUCCUCACCUCUCCUCUCGUCUAUUAUUCCCUCCUUUAUCCCCUCUCCUCCUCCUCCUCCUCCUCCUCUUCCUCCUCUGCCCUCUUCUCCUCUCCUCUCCUUCCUUCAGCUCUUUCCCCCUAUCUCCCCCCCUAUCCAAAUCCAAACUCUCACCAGCCACCCAUGUGACAGACAGGGUGUCCUCACCUUGUAACGAUCAGUGACAUCCAAUAUGUUUGGCUUGGGAUCAUCCCCUGUGUGUGCAUUGUGCUCUCUGUUAAACGCUUUAUUGAUUAGCCAUAAGUUAAUUACAAAUUACAUCAAGCGUGGGCACUGUGUGGAAGAUGGCAACAGGAUCAGGUGCUAAAACAUGUCACACACACACACACCUGCAUGCGUGCAUCCCAACCUGAGUUCUUACACUAUAUUCUGCCUGAUUUCCACCUAUUAACAUCGGCGCGUUUAUGACAUUUUACACUCUCUUAUCUGCUGCUUUAAGGCCAUGUGGCGCGUUUUCUGUCGUGAAAAGGGUAGCAUUAGAAACAGGAGGGUUUCUGCAGAGACACCAAGGGUAUGCAGCCUGAAUACUUAAUUCUAUCAAGCACAACUUUGACUCACCCUAUGCUAAAAUUAUGAGCCUGUGUGCCAAAUCCAAAGCAGACCUUUGGAGGCUAAUGUAUUCUGGAUUUAAGCUCCAUUGUAAAAUCCAUAACACGCCUGCACCUGACCUGCUCUGCCGCAGCACCGAAAACAACCUCUCACCUCUGACUCCUGCACAAAGUUGAAAAACAAUAAUAAUAUUAAUAAUAAAUUGAUCAUAAAUUAAUAAUGAUAGAUUAAUAAUAGUUUUUGCAACCUGCAAUAGCAAGCACUUUUUUUGCAGCCUGCUUCCUUUUCAUGCCGUGUCAGUUUCUCUGUGACAUUGCCGUGUACUUUGUGCAAAAAAAAAAAGGAAAAAAGGAGCGAAAAAAAAAUCUUUAUCAAAUCCCCAUUCUGAGGCUUUCAAUAAGGCAGGCCAUUACCUCACUGGCGCUUUUGUUCGGCCUAUACAAGAGAGAACAAAAUGGUUAUUCAGGAGGACGCUUUAGAUUUUUAUUGUGGGCUCGCUAUUCACAAAGAGCACCGUUAUUGUAUUAAAAAGAACCAUCUGUGGCAGAAACAAUGGCUUCAAAUUAUCUGUGAAUACCCAGUGAACAAAAUAUAAAGCUUUUUCCUGCUCAUUAUGUGGGCUAAGCUAGGGGGUGGAAGAUAGGAGAGGAGAGGCAUAGACUUUGCUAUAACUGACUUUUGUUGUUCUUGCUUGCAUUCUUCUCCUUUUUAAAUCGGCCCCCUUUUCACAUUGUGUGUCGCCAUAAACGGCUUUUCUUGUUGCAGGGCUCGCGGAAAGAAGACAGCGGAGCUCCACACAGGCAGCGGGGCUCCACGCAAGCUGCACGCCGGGCCACGGCGCACCGGCUGACGGGUUGGAAACCGCGCGGACUACCGGGGGAACUUUCUGGGGAAGGGUUGGAAAAUGAAGACGGUGCCCGCCGCCGCCGGAGUUGGACGUUUCACCAAGCCGGCUUGUGGAAGCUCUAUCCCCGGGCUUAGUUUGGAGCGGACUUUUCCAGGAGGAGUGAGGGGAAGCUACGGAGGAGGUUGAGCGCAAAAAAUGGCAUCUUGUUUAAUUUGUGCCAAUCAAGACGAGAGGAAGACAACUCCCCAAACUGGCAGUAAGUCUGAGUGCGGUGAAGAGGAGAAGCCCUGGGUGUGUUUGUGUGUGUGUCGGUGUGUAUGUUAGUGUGUGUUGGAGUCGGUGUGUGUAUGUAAAACAUGCAGUGUUGUGGAAUGACACCGCAUGGCAUCAUGAGCUUCACUGGCUGCCUGAAAUGUUGUUGGCCGCUCUGCUUUUCUGCUCAACAUACGCGCAGAUCAUUACGCGCGCAGAUGAUCAUCAAAGUGGCACUUGUUUAAUAUUAAUUUAUGAUUUGAUUUUACACUUUUGACACAUUAUUUCUUCUCCUGUAUUUGAUUUAAAUACAGUUUGAAUUACAACUUAAACAGAACUUCAUCUAUAAUUUCACCGGCACGGAUGCUCCGGUAUCCGACUAAUUUAGGCUUUUAUUUUAUAAACAGAAUGUCAGAUUUUUACUUGUAAUCUGGUUUUAUUUUAUUUUAUUAUGUGCUGAAAGCUUUUCUUUCAUUUAAAACUUUUUAACCUUUUUCAUCACACACACUUUAAUCUUAUUUAUCUUUGUUGUCCAUGCGUAAAAUGGAUAAUAAAGAUUUAUUGCACCGUAUCUUUUAAACAAAAUGCAACAAUAAGAAAUAUAUAAUUGUACUGAAUGAUAAUACAAAACC